rnacentral:rRNA from 1 species
UACGGGGGGGGCAAGCGUUGUUCGGAAUUACUGGGCGUAAAGGGCUCGUAGGCGGCCAACUAAGUCCGACGUGAAAUCCCCAGGCUCAACCUGGGAACUGCGUCGGAUACUGGAUGGCUUGAAUUCGGGAGAGGGAUGCAGAAUUCCAGGUGUAGCGGUGAAAUGCGUAGAUAUCUGGAGGAAUACCGGUGGCGAAGGCGGCAUCCUGGACCGACAUUGACGCUGAGGAGCGAAAGCUAGGGGAGUAAACGGG